ACGGGAGGCAGCAGUGAGGAAUAUUGGUCAAUGGGCGGAAGCCUGAACCAGCCAAGUCGCGUGAAGGAUGAAGGUAUUAUGUAUUGUAAACUUCUUUAGCAGCAGAGUAAUAAGGCCCUCGUGAGGGCUGAUGCAAGUAUGCUGAAAAUAAGGAUCGGCUAACUCCGUGCCAGCAGCCGCGGUAAUACGGAGGAUCCGAGCGUUAUCCGGAUUUAUUGGGUUUAAAGGGUGCGCAGGCGGCCCGUUAAGUCAGCGGUGAAAUGUCGGGGCUCAACCCGGGCACUGCCGUUGAAACUGGGGGGCUUGAGUACGGAUGAGGUCGGCGGAAUGUGACGUGUAGCGGUGAAAUGCAUAGAUAUGUCACAGAACACCGAUUGCGAAGGCAGCCGGCCAAUCCGCAACUGACGCUCAUGCACGAAAGCGUGGGGAUCGAACAGGAUUAGAUACCCUGGUA
rnacentral:rRNA from 1 species